rnacentral:rRNA from 1 species
CAGCAGCCACGGUAAUACGGAGGAUCCAAGCGUUAUCCGGAAUCAUUGGGUUUAAAGGGUCCGUAGGCGGUCUUGUAAGUCAGUGGUGAAAGCCCAUCGCUCAACGGUGGAACGGCCAUUGAUACUGCAGGACUUGAAUUAUUGGGAAGUAACUAGAAUAUGUAGUGUAGCGGUGAAAUGCUUAGAGAUUACAUGGAAUACCAAUUGCGAAGGCAGGUUACUACCAAUUGAUUGACGCUGAUGGACGAAAGCGUGGGUAGCGAACAGGAUUAGAUACCCCUGUAGUCCCUGUCUCUUAUAU